GGAAUCUUCGGCAAUGGACGAAAGUCUGACCGAGCAACGCCGCGUGAGUGAAGAAGGUUUUCGGAUCGUAAAACUCUGUUGGUAGAGAAGAACGUUGGUGAGAGUGGAAAGCUCGUCAAGUGACGGUAACUACCCAGAAAGGGACGGCUAACUACGUGCCAG
rnacentral:rRNA from 1 species